UACGUAGGGUGCAAGCGUUGUCCGGAAUUAUUGGGCGUAAAGGGCUCGUAGGCGGUCCAUCACGUCGGGAGUGAAAAGCUGGGGCUUAACCCCAGUCCUGCUUCCGAUACGGGUGGACUAGAGGUAGGUAGGGGAGAACGGAAUUCCUGGUGUAGCGGUGAAAUGCGCAGAUAUCAGGAGGAACACCGGUGGCGAAGGCGGCAUCCUGGACCAACACUGACGCUGAGUGAGCGAAAGCCAGGGGAGCAAACGGG
rnacentral:rRNA from 1 species